rnacentral:lncRNA from 1 species
CAGCCUGGGUGCUGCGGGCUCCAUUCUAGCCUGAGGGCCAUGCGACACGCCCAGACCAGAUACAACCUCUUAGAGUUAGGCACAAAGUUAGAGAAGUGAUGAGAAUAACUUGCUCUGCAUGUCACAACAAAGCCAAGCCAAGCCUUGCUGACUUCCCCCGAGUUCUUCCCCCAGGUCCCAUAAAGUCCUUCUGAAGUGUCUGUGUGUGGCAAAGCCGGGAGUGACCCUCUGACUGCCUGUGGGUGAUGGUGUGAAGGAGGGACAGCUUGAGGUCUGGGGACCUGGGUCUAGGACCGCCCCGCCACGCCUAGAUGCCCUUCCUUUCUCUAGUUCCUUCUGCUGAGCGGGCACCCCGUUCACAGAGCCGGGGAGGAACCAGGGGAGGAGAAGGAAGAUGGUCAGUAGGCACUUUGAGAAGCUUUCUAGUAAUUGAAACUGGCCCCCAAGGGGACACUGUCUAGAGAAAUGAGGUGUACGGGAGACCAAGUCUUCUCGGUCUCAGUGCUGUGGACACCCUGGGCUGGAGAUUCUUGGUGGCAGGGCUGUCUUGUGUACUGCAGGAUGGUUAAUCCUGGUCUCCACCCCCCAGAUGCCAGAAACAGCCCCCAACAUCCCAGCUGUGACAACUAGUAUCUCUAGAUAUUGCCAAAUGUCCCACGGGAGACACG